rnacentral:tRNA from 1 species
GCUGGGAUAGCUCAGUUGGUAGAGCAUUCGCCUGAAGAGCGAGGGGUCCCCGGUUCAAGCCCGGGUCCCAGCACCA